rnacentral:tmRNA from 1 species
AGACUUGAAAAAGUAAUAAUUCCUAUCUAUAAUAUAAUCUGUCAGGCAACUGACUAUGACACUAGAGGCGGUAUGAAAUAGGCUUUUUGGACCUGGGGGCAGUACCCAGCACCUCCACCAAUUUUUUACACGCAACUCCACUCCGAACGGCACCCCGACAGUCCAUAGAGCGGCUUUUACGGGGAAAGUUUGUUAUAUGUGGAGAUUUUUAGGAGUUAUUUUAAUUUUCGACAGGAGUGUACAAAAGCGUACAUGACUUAGAAAAUUAAAAUAAGGACAACAAAAUCGCCCAUAGAACAAAUCUUUACGGGGGUGAAACAGGGUAGACAGGAAGUAAUAAAGAUACUUUUUGCCGUGUCCGGUGAGAUACCACCGUUAUCGGUUCAAAAUAAAUGAAUGCAAACGAUAACUUUGCACCUGUUGCUGUAGCUGCUUAAUAGCAAGGCAACGAACAUAAAUCCUUGUAGCUUUGGUUAGUUAUAAGUGGGGUCUGAGCCACCUAGCAACAGAACGGCUCGUUU